UCUGACGCUAGCACUGGGCAGAGCGAUGGGAGAGGGCUGCAGCUGCCGCUCAGAGCCUGCAGGCCGCUAAUUUUAGCGACAGGGGCUGCUGAGGAGCAUGAAGACAGGCUCGAACGGCACCGCUCGCUCUUCUAGUUACAGGGAAGGAUUAACAUCCCACUGAACCUAAGAAUGUAUAACCUUGGUGAUCUGAACUGAACCCCAACCUUCCUGUUAACUGAAAUGCGUUUCGUGUCCCCCAGUGUCUAUUAAUUGUAGCAUUCUCCUUUUGGACCAGCUCUCACACUUUGACCCUACCUCCACUCCUCAACCAUUUUGUCUCUGAGCAUAUUGCAAUAUCUGUUUCCCCAGGCUGUUUGAGAAGGGUGCAAGUUCCUGACUCACCUCCUGAAAGGUGAGAUCAGAGUUUGUUAUAUUUCGUAAGAUAUUUUUGAUGUUUUUCAAUGUUAACCCACUAAUAGCAUUGUUGGACGUGGAUGAACAUAAGGUACACAUUCUAAA